UACAGAGGGUGCAAGCGUUGUUCGGAAUUAUUGGGCGUAAAGCGCGUGUAGGCGGCUUUGCAAGUCGGGUGUGAAAGCCCUCGGCUCAACCGAGGAAGUGCGCCCGAAACUGCAGAGCUUGAGUACCGGAGAGGAUGGCGGAAUUCCCCAAGUAGAGGUGAAAUUCGUAGAUAUGGGGGAGGAACACCGGUGGCGAAGGCGGCCAUCUGGACGGAUACUGACGCUGAGACGCGAAAAGCGUGGGGAGCAAACAGG
rnacentral:rRNA from 1 species